AUCAAAGAUAAUCCUGAAUUAGCGUGACCUUAGUGGAGAACUACUAACAUAGCAUCACCUGAGAUCUACAUUUUUUACAUUGGAAAAGACCCUGCUUCUGGGAAAGAUAGAGGGAAGGAGGAGAAGGGGACAACAGAGGAUGAGAUGGCUGGAUGGCAUCACCGACUCAAUGGACAUGAGUAUGAGCAAGCUCUGGGAGACAGUGAAGGACAGAGAAGUCUGGUGUGGUGCAGUCUGUGGGGCUGCAACGAGUCAGACACAACUUAGUGACUAAACACCACCACCACAUUCCUUUGAUGCCAAGGCUGUGCAUUCACUUUACAUUCCACCACUGAAAUUCAUUUCCAUGAAGUUUUAAAAAUGCACAGACAACAGAUGCCAUAUUCUUCUUCUGUAGACCUGGUGAGCAAAGGCUCAUAGUGGCAGAUACGAGGUUGCCCUCCCUGGUUUAUUCACUUCAGAAGCCAUUAGCACUGCUUUCCCACAGUUUCCUUAUCAAGCCACCACAGUGUCUUUCUGAUUCUGGACCAGAACUCUAGUGAUAACCUGAAAACCAGCCUCAGCCUCUGAUACCUUCUGCAGCCUUUCUGCCUUUUUUUAACACCAAGUUCCCUGUAUAAAUCACUUUCCACUUCAAGUGUCCAAAGUGGUUUUUUGUACUACUAAAUAACAUGCUCUCAAUCUCAUGAGUCAGAUAAUGAACAAAGGCACAUAUGUGUUUCAUCCUCCAAACUACAUUUUUAAUGGGAAAAAUGCAACUGUUCAAAUAAGCUAGGCUGUUUGGGUCAAGAUGAGCAGCACUUGUUAUCAGUCUUUGAUACAUUCUUAAAGGAACAUUUAAGAGUUUCAUCUACAGAACUUUCAUCUACAGAAACCUACUUCACUCCAUAUUUAAAUUCUUGUUAUUAUACUGCAGUAUACUGAAUACUGAAUGAGUAUACCUCUAUAACAAUGUGUAAAAGCAAUCAUAUCUCAUGUAAACUAGUCUUAAUUAUAGCUAUGUCAUAAAUUUCUUUAAAUUCUGCAUGUGGUCAUCAAACCUUGGGAAAUAAAGGAGAAUGAGUUAUUGACCUAUAAUUUUAUAAUACUAUCACAAAAAGUAGUAUUAAUCACCUUGUGCUAAGCCUUAACUGUAGACUGCAAAACCGACAAGGAAUUUCAAAAAUAUACAACCAGUUUCUACAGCUCAAUAUCAAAAAAACAAACAAUACAACCAAAAAAUGGGCAGAAGACCUGAGUAGACAUUUCUUCAAAGAAGACAUACAGAUGGCAAACAGGCAUAUAAAAAGAGGAUCAACAUCAUGAAUUAUGAGAGAAAUGCAAAUCAGAACUACAAUGAGGUAUCACUUCACACUGGUCAGAAUAGCCAUCAUCAAAGUCUAAGAACAAUAAAUACUGGAGAGGGUGUGGAGAAAAGGGAACCCUCCCACACUGUUAGUGGGAAUGUAAAUUGAUACAGCCACUACGGAAAACAGUAUGAAGGUUCUUUUAAAAACUAAAAACAGAGUUUCACAUGAUCCAGCAAUCCCACUCCUGGGCAUCCAUCCAGAGAAAACUCCAAUUGUUCACUGUAGCACUAUUCACAGCCAAGACGUGGAAGCAACUUGAGUGUCCACUGACAGAGGAACCGAUAGAGAAGAUAUGGCACAUAUAUACAAUGGAAUACUACUCAGUCAUAAUAAAGAAUGAAACAAUGCCAUUUGCAACAUGGA
ensembl:lncRNA